CACAAUACCCUUGUCCAUGUCGAGUCUGCUUUGUGACGUUCUGUCUGUCUCACGACAGAAUUUACUCAAAACUCCCUGUGCCAGAGACGCAGGAGUCACCUAUGUGGCUGUCAGUCCCUGGAGAAUGAAAACAGCAGGGAGAGAUUCUUGAGGAGCAGCAGGAGGUGCUGAGGAGAGUACUAGACUUGAGAGUCAAGAAACCUGGGUUUUUGGGCCUGAUUCUGCCGGUACUGGAAUUUGGAAGCGUCAGCAGGGACCAACAAGCAGGUGCCUUUAAGGCCUUGAUCAGUAGCUUGUACUUUAUCAUGGGUGCUGGAGCACGGCAGGGAGAAGUCAGGAUUUUUGAAAAACCUUUUUGGCAAUGGUGAGAAGGGUGGAUUGAAGGGGAAAAAUUAGAUUGGAGAUACGAAGAUGAGUUAGGGUAUAGUCCAGGUGAAAGGUAAUGGGGCGUAGACUAGGAAUGAAGCACUAGAGAUGGAAAAAGGGAUGAAGAAAGAGCUUUUAGAAGCAGAACUGAUAGGAAGGACCUAAAGACAACCAAAUACGAGGAGAAAGAGAAAGAAAGGGAAAAGGGGGAGUCAGAGAUGAAUCUGGGCUCCAGAGUACAUCGCACAAAUAGGAGUACACGUUGUUUCUCACACUCUUUGUUAUCACUGCAUAUGUGUAUGUAUGUAUAGGUUGGCAGGUAUUGUAAAAUGUAUUUCUUUCCAGAGCUGGUGCAAAAAAAAAAUUUAUAGAAAAUGGGCUAUAUCAGUGUUUCCCAAACUUCAGUCAUUUGCAUACCUCAUUCACAAUUUUUAUCGUCUUCAAAUAACACCCGCACCAUUAAUUACUUAGUAUUGUUCUUUAAAUGAAGUCAUUUUUGUACCUAAACACUUACUGUAGGUUCAUCCUAAAAAACCAUAGAUAUGUGAAAUAAUGACUUUGGUAUGCCAGUUAUGUGUUUAUACAUAUUGAAACAAAUACAAGGCCAUUACAAUUAAAAAUGUAUCCAUUUACUACCUAAAACUGUUAUUUCCUGUGCCCUCUGUGGUGUACAGGCCAGACUUAGGGAACACCUGACCUGGGUGACAGCUAGAGCCACUAGGAUGAUACAUAUUUUUCUUUCUUUGCCCUCCUCUUGGUUUCCAUUCAGAUUGUAUCAGUAUCCAGCCCUGGAUGGCACGUCUGGUCUCUGCAUUCAUCGUGGGCAAGGUCUCUCCUGCAGGCGGUGACCUUUAGCAGAGCUGGGCUGGAGGUUGUCAUCCAAACAAAUGAGAGCUGACCUGGAACGUCUUUUUAACUCAGCAUCUCAUGUCCCGAGCCUCUGAAAGCGGCUGCAAGAGCAGCCAAGCCAAAGGAGCCGGGUCCCUUGUAUGCUGCAGCCAAGAGUGCAAAUGGGGCCUUGCCAUCUUCCUUUGCUUCUCCAGCGUCCUCCCUGAUGCCUUCUCGGGGCAGCACAUACAGGUCUGAACUUGGAGGGCCGCAACUUGAUCCGCUCUUGUCCACAUUUGGUGUAUAAACAUCUCUGUAGACUGUUUUCAAGAGACUACUCUCAGAUCUUCCUUCACACUGAGGUGUUGACGACUGGUUACUCUCUAACACAGCUAUUCUCAUCAGACUGUGAGAUGGACAGUAGCACACACUCUCCAAUCAACAAGGAAUCUAUGAAAAUCUGAAUUUUCACAGAGUCUGGUGAAAUGAGUUUGACGGGGUUCAGGACACACUACCCCAGAACAUGAUCCCAAGCCAAAAACCUAGAAGAGUAGAAGGAAAAAAAACUGGGGGGCUGAAAGGAAAGGAACACAAAAACAUCUGUUUGAAGGACAUAAUGAUUGAAAAUUUUCUGAUUUGAUGAAAACUAUAGACCAAUAGAUUCAAGAAACUCAAGAAACCCCAAAUACAAGAAACAUGAAGAAAACUACCUCUAAAACGCUUGAAGUUGAGCGAAUACGCAUUUAUUUACUCUAUAUAUGUAAGACUAGACAUGAAUUAAAAUAAAACAAAAUCUAUCCUCUGCUAACAGAGAAAGCCUUAGAGGCCCUCUGACUGUCUUCAUGGGUAUUGUGGAUGAGCCAAGGAAAUGCAAGACAGUUGUUGUCCUCAAGUAGGUUUUGAGCUACCUGAGCACACUUAUGUUGGAAAGACUAUUACUCAACUCCACAAUAUCCAUUCCCUCUUCUUGCAUUGCUGCCAGAACCCCAGUUGUGUCCAAAUAGCCACGUCUUUCCCACAUGACUCCAGAAGGAAAGACCAUAUCCCCAGACCCAGGAAUAGAUCCUGAUUUAUUCAGUCACGAAGAUCUGAUUCCCCUUGAUAGCAAUUCACAUGAAGGUGGCUAUAUGACCCGCAUGACAAGAGAUGUCGAGGGAAGUAUAUUGGAGGAUUUCUGAGAAAGAUUCUUUACUUCCAAAAGAGAUAAGAGGAAGAGACAAUCUCUUCUUCCUUUGGACACUGAUGUGCCUGAUGCCUGGAACUUCUGUACUCAAUCUGCAACUAAGUAAGGGCCAGUCUGAGGUCAGAGUCAAUAGCCUGAGAAUGAUGGAAAGAAUUUGGAUCUUUGAUGAUGCUGUUGAGCUGCUGAAUUAACCAACCAUGAAGCUCCUGUACCAGGGAACUUUUUCUUGUAUGAAAUAAUACAUUUUCUUAUUGUUUAAAUCAA